UUUAGGUGUUAGAUAUGCAAGUACCUAAGACUUCUGUGGUAUGUAUGUAAAUGCCCCUAAAAUUUUUCCGCUCUGAUACCAACUCUGAGGACCUCA